GGAGAGGUGGCAGAGUGGUUGAAUGCGGCGGUCUCGAAAACCGUUUACGGGGCAACCCCCCGUACGAGGGUUCGAAUCCCUCCCUCUCCGCCA
rnacentral:tRNA from 1 species